AGUUAUAAAGGAUUUUCGACCUCAUCGCCAUAGACCGUUAUCCGCUAUUGAUAACCUUGAAUGCUAUCAAUUUGAACAUGCUUGGUUUAGUCAUGUUGAACAAGGUUUCGAGAGAUACUGAUUGCAGCCUUGUAAUCACAAUACAACUUCAUUGGAAGGGUUAAAGGAAGCUACAACAGUUCUAGAAUCCUUUUAAGCCAAAGAAUCUCACAAAUACCUUGGUAGACAGCCUCAAAAUGUUCUUGUAGAAGAAUUGGGACUCAAUGUUAGUUUAGAAUUUAGAACAAAAUAGAAAUUUAAAUUGACCAAUUGGUAGAAGAAUUAGGAUUAAAAAAAUUGUUGCUGCAAAUGCAGCAACGAACUCAUUAAGAACUGACUCAAAGGAGUAGGAAAAACUACAAGAAGAAAGAGGAUUAAAACUGAAAAAAAAAAUAAUAAAAAAAGGAGGAUUAAAACUGGAAAAAAAAAGGAGGAUUAAAACUAAAAAAAAAGGAGGAUUAAAAUUGAAAAAAAAAAACUGGUCAAGUUUUAAGUUUGGCUAUGGUCGCCAGAGUUCCUCGUUGGAGUGUUGGGCCACCACGAUUCAGGUCGUCGACUAGAAAAGGGACCAAGGAGUGGUGGGCAACGGUGAACAAAGGUUAUUAGGGGCGGUUUUGAGUUCCAUAACUCUUGUUCAGGCAUCGUGGUUGCUUGUCGGAGUUUUGGACCAUUGCGGUUCAGGUUAGCUGGCCGGAAAGGUGACUGGCGAGUGGUGGGCGACAAUGGAGGAACGUCACCAUAGACAGAUUGAAGGUCACAGAAGUGGAUUUGGGUGGGUGGCUGUUGUGGCUCUGUUCUCACUCUUGAACCCCAAAACCAUUAGGGCACUCAAAUUGGGCCUGGGUCGAAGCCCAAAACUGGCCCUAGAAACCCUAGAUCCGUUACGUCCACCAUCCCCUUCAUAAUGUAACGGGUCAAAACGGCCAUGGCGUCCGCCACGGCGGAAAUGGCAGACGGUGCCACAAAAUGCCAUAUCCUGGAUGGCGAAUCGCGACGAGACCCAAAACUGCUCCGUCAUUUCGUUAUAACACCGUUAUAAUGGUUUUUUGACAACAAUGAUAACAUUUAAUAAAAGGUGGACACCAACCUAAUUAUUAUGCCUUUUUUUCCUACUUCACAAGAUGUUGCUGAUAUUCUUACAAAAGGGUUGUGUAGGCCUAACUUUGAGUUUCUCAUAAGCAAGUUGGGCAUGUUAGACAUCUAUGCACCAACUUGAGGGGAGUGUUGACAAUUCCUCCGGAAUAUAUGCCAGAAAAUUUAACAAUGUAUUCUGCAUGGGUGGGAGGUGCCAUACUUGCCAAAGUAGUUUUUCCUCAAAAUCAGCAUGUAACUAAGGCAGACUAUGAUGAAACUGGGCCUUCUAUUGUACACCGGAAAUGCUUUUGAUGGAAUUUAUCUGCACAAUCUGCAGCGAGUUUUUUACACUUGUAGCAGUAUGUGGUAGGCCUUCAUUUGACUUUAGAUACUAAAUGUUCGACUUGCUAAUGUCCUGGUGCUUGCGUGAUUUUAAAAACCAUAGUGGAUUUCCAUGAACUAAAUGCAAUCAUAUUUCCCAGCACAAGUGUUUAGACAUAACCGGUAGUUUGUACAAUCUUGUUCUGACAAAAUCAUAUAAUGUAUGUUGCAGAAAUAUCAGCUUGCUUAUUUUUGUAAUGAGCAAGCCUACAAAAGAUCGAGUUUGGUCCUCGGUGACUUCUACUUGCACAGAUUUUCUGCACCUCUUUUAUGACUAAUUAUUACUUAUACUU